GACAGAGGGUGCAAACGUUGCUCGGAAUCACUGGGCGUAAAGGGCGCGUAGGCGGCCCGCACAAGUCUGCGGUGAAAACCCCCGGCUUAACCGGGGGCCGGCCGUGGAAACUGUCGGGCUGGAGGCUGGGAGAGGGCAGCGGAAUUCCCGGUGUAGCGGUGAAAUGCGUAGAGAUCGGGAGGAACACCGGCGGCGAAGGCGGCUGCCUGGACCAGUCCUGACGCUGAGGCGCGAAAGCUAGGGGAGCAAACGGG
rnacentral:rRNA from 1 species